rnacentral:rRNA from 1 species
UACGUAGGGUGCAAGCGUUGUCCGGAAUUAUUGGGCGUAAAGAGCUCGUAGGCGGUCUGUCGCGUCGGCUGUGAAAUCCCGAGGCUCAACCUCGGGUCUGCAGUCGAUACGGGGCAAACUAGAGUAUUGCAGGGGAGACUGGAAUUCCUGGUGUAGCGGUGAAAUGCGCAGAUAUCAGGAGGAACACCGGUGGCGAAGGCAGGUCUCUGGGCAUUAACUGACGCUGAGGAGCGAAAGCAUGGGGAGCGAAUAGG